AGAGUUUGAUCCUGGCUCAGAACGAACGUUGGCGGCGUGGAUUAGGCAUGCAAGUCGAACGAAUCCCGGUAGCAAUAUUGGGGGAAGUGGCGAAAGGGGCAGUAAGGCAUGGGUAACCUACCCUGGGGACUGGGAUAGCCUCUCUAACGGGAGGGUAAUACCGGGCGAAGUAGCGAGGUGGCAUCAUCUUGCUACGAAAUGAGUUUCGCCUCGGGAGGGGCCCAUGUGAUAUUAGCUAGUUGGUGAGGUAACGGCUCACCAAGGCCAAGAUGUCUAGCGGGUGUGAGAGCACGACCCGCGCCACUGGCACUGUGACACUGGCCAGACUCCUACGGGAGGCUGCAGUCGAGGAUCUUCGGCAAUGGGCGAAAGCCUGACCGAGCGACGCCGCGUGUGCGAUGAAGGCCUUCGGGUUGUAAAGCACUGUCGAGGGGGAUAAAGCCGCAAGGUUGAUAGAUCCCUGGAGGAAGCACGGGCUAAGUUCGUGCCAGCAGCCGCGGUAAGACGAACCGUGCGAACGUUGUUCGGAAUCAUUGGGCUUAAAGGGCGCGUAGGCGGGGUGGCAAGUCUGUGGUGAAAUCCUCCGGCUCAACCGGAGAACUGCCGUGGAUACUGCCAUUCUUGAGGGGUGUAGGGGCAUGCGGAACUUCCGGUGGAGCGGUGAAAUGCGUAGAUAUCGGAAGGAACACCGGUGGCGAAAGCGGCGUGCUGGACACCUUCUGACGCUGAGGCGCGAAAGCCAGGGGAGCAAACGGGAUUAGAUACCCCGGUAGUCCUGGCCCUAAACGUUGGGUACUAGAUUGUGGACUGGACAUGGGUUCACAGUCGAAGCAAAAGUGUUAAGUACCCCGCCUGGGGAGUAUGGUCGCAAGGCUGAAACUCAAAGGAAUUGACGGGGGCUCACACAAGCGGUGGAGCAUGUGGCUUAAUUCGAGGCUACGCGAAGAACCUUAUCCUGGGCUUGACAUGUGCGAAAGCGGUUGGAAGUAGUUUGCGGAAACGUGGAACGAACGGUAUCCAAUCCGGAACCAACUACAGGUGCUGCAUGGCUGUCGUCAGCUCGUGUCGUGAGAUGUCGGGUUAAGUCCCAUAACGAGCGAAACCCUUGUCUCCAGUUGCCAGCGGGUAAUGCCGGGGACUCUGGAGAGACUGCCGGUGUCAAACCGGAGGAAGGCGGGGAUGACGUCAAGUCCUCAUGGCCUUUAUGCCCAGGGCUGCACACGUGCUACAAUGGCGUAUACAAAGGGAUGCCAACCCGCGAGGGGGAGCAAAUCCCAGAAACCCUAUCUCAGUCCGGAUUGGAGUCUGCAACUCGACUCCAUGAAGUCGGAAUCGCUAGUAAUCGCAGAUCAGCAUUGCUGCGGUGAAUACGUUCCCGGGCCUUGUACACACCGCCCGUCACACCAUGGGAGUUUGUUGCACCAGAAGCAGGUAGCUUAACCUUCGGGAGGGCGCUUGCCACGGUGUGGCCGAUGACUGGGGUGAAGUCGUAACAAGGUAGCCGUAUCGGAAGGUGCGGCUGGAUCACCUCCUU
rnacentral:rRNA from 1 species